GUAACAAUUCCCAUCUCGAAUGAAUUUAGUCCAGAAGUUGGACAUAUAUCUGCAACACCCUUUAUCAAAUUCAGGCACAGUUCACAGGAAAAGAAGGCAUGUACCAGACCCAAUAAAAAAAAGGAAACAUGAUAAACCUAAUAAAGUUAAACUCACUACACUUCCCUUUGUACAACGUAGUGACAUAAUAACUAUGAUGUAAAUUAUUGUGUCCAGAGUAAGCUGGGAUUAAGACCAAUAGCCGCUCUCAGUUGUCCAGAUUUGGAAAGGAAUAUACGGUAUGCUACACUUUGCUAGACUCUAUCAGGCUUGAGUUUGAUCAUCCCUUCCGAGGUUUGUUUCUUCAGAUGGAAACAAUUCGUUCUGUUUUGGUUCAGACGGAAGCAAUUCAUUUUCCUGUUGAGGUUCAGAUGAUAGCGGUUCUUUCUUCCCUUCUGGUUCAGACCAAAGCAAUGCACUGUUUUGUACUGGUUCAGAUGGAAGCAAUAUUUUCUUCUGUUCUAGCUUGUAUGGAAGCAAUUUUUUCUUCUGGUCUAGCUCGUAUGGAAGGAAUUCAUUGGUCUGUUCUGGUUCAGACGAAAGCAAUUCACUGUUCUGUUCUG
rnacentral:misc_RNA from 1 species